rnacentral:rRNA from 1 species
UACGGAGGGUGCAAGCGUUAUCCGGAUUCACUGGGUUUAAAGGGUGCGUAGGCGGGCAGGUAAGUCAGUGGAUGAAAUCUCCAAGCUUAACUUGGAAACUGCCGUGGAUACUAUUUGUCUUGAAUAUAGUGGAGGUGAGCGGAAUAUGUCAUGUAGCGGUGAAAUGCUUAGAUAUGACAUAGAACACCCAUGCGAAAGGCAGCUCGCUACACUAUUAUUGACGCUGAGGCACGAAAAGCGUGGGGAUCAAACAGG